rnacentral:sRNA from 1 species
GACCACCCCCGCUUAGGGUCAAGGCCAUACGGACAGCCGGGUCGAAUGCCG